CGCAGGUCUAGAUUGUCACAUAACGACAUCCCACACGGAACAGCUAUGUUUUCGCUGCUACUCCUGGUGCUGCCUUUGCUGGCGGAGGGUGCUUCCACAGAGAGUGUGGGUUGUGUACUGCCAGCUGCCUCCACUGAGACGUUCUACAUGACUACCGAGGAGAAGCCGUGGUACCAACAAUACCAGUAACAGGUACCCGGCCUGUUUGACCUGGGCUGCGUUACUUAUGUCCAGUCGCCUGGGGAGAGCGACACCAAGAUGUACCUUACUGGCAACUUCAGCAAAGCGCCUCUAUUUCCUCUGAACAGCUCUGUGUCAGUCACUGGAAACAAGCUGGACAAGGUCUAUGAUGGCGUUUGAGAAUCUCUACUGAGCGGACCAUACAAUGUAGUGUACUCGCACGAGGAUUUCAUCAUGGACCACUACUGCUUUCUCGGAUAUGAAAUGGCUCAAAUCUUCACAACUGUCAAGGAACCCAGCGACGAGUUGAUGGAGCUGAUAUGGGAAGUUGUCAGUAAUCACACUGAAGUGGACAAGUCUAAAUUUAAGAAAGUGGUCUGUUAAUGCUGUACUUCUGAUAAAUAAAUAUUAAUGAAGCACA